GCCUGAGUGGCUCAAUCGGGUUGAGCGUCCGACUUCAGCUCAGGUCAUGAUCUCGUGGUCUGUGAGUUCGAGCCCCGCAUCGGGCU
rnacentral:tRNA from 1 species